GACAAACGCUGGCGGCGUGCUUAACACAUGCAAGUCGAACGAAGAGCGAUGGAAGCUUGCUUCUAUCAAUCUUAGUGGCGAACGGGUGAGUAACGCGUAAUCAACCUGCCCUUCAGAGGGGGACAACAGUUGGAAACGACUGCUAAUACCGCAUACGAUCUAAUCUCGGCAUCGAGGAUAGAUGAAAGGUGGCCUCUACAUGUAAGCUAUCACUGAAGGAGGGGAUUGCGUCUGAUUAGCUAGUUGGAGGGGUAACGGCCCACCAAGGCGAUGAUCAGUAGCCGGUCUGAGAGGAUGAACGGCCACAUUGGGACUGAGACACGGCCCAGACUCCUACGGGAGGCAGCAGUGGGGAAUCUUCCGCAAUGGACGAAAGUCUGACGGAGCAACGCCGCGUGAGCGAUGACGGCCUUCGGGUUGUAAAGCUCUGUUAAUCGGGACGAAAGGCCUUCUUGCGAAUAGUGAGAAGGAUUGACG
rnacentral:rRNA from 1 species